rnacentral:lncRNA from 1 species
AUGGUGAAGGUGAAGGCCAGAGUAAAUAGAUUUGGGCCAUAUUGGGCACCUGGUCACCAGGGCUGCUUUUAACUCUAGUAAAGUGGAUAUUGUCACCAUCAAUGACCCUUCAUUGACCUCAACUACAUGGUCUGCAUGUUCCAGUAUUUCUACCCAUGGCAAAUUCCACCACACCGUCAAGGCUGAGAAUGGGAAGCUUGUCAUCAAUGGAAAUCCCAUCACCAUCUUCCAGGAGCAAGAUCCUACCAAAAUCAAAUGGGGUGAUGCUGAAGCUGAGUAUGCCGUGGAGUCCACUGGCAUCUUCAUGACCAUAGAGAAGGCUGGGGCUCACUUAAUGGGGGAGCCAAAAGGGUCAUCAUCUCUACCCCCUCUGCUGAUGCCCCCAUAUUCAUAAUGGGCAUGAUCCCUGAGAAGUCUGAAAACAGCCUCAAGAUCAUCAGCAAUGCCUUCUGUACCACCAACUGCUUAAUCCCCCGGCCAAGCCCAUCCAUGACAACUUUGGCAUUGUGGAAGGACUUGUGACCACAAUCCAUGCUGCCACUCCUGCCCAGAAGACUCGAUGGCCUCUGUGGGAAACUGUGGCAUAUGUCUGUGGGGCUCUCCAGAACAUCAUCCCUGCAUCUACUGGUGUUGCCAAGGCUGUGGGCAAGGCCAUCCCCGAGCUGAACAGGAAGCUCACUAGCAUGGCCUUCCGUGUCCUUCUGCAAACGUGUUGGUUGUGGACCUGACCUGCCAUCUGGAGAAACCUGCCAAAUAUGAUGACAUCAAAAAGGUGGUGAAGCAGGCGUCAGAGGGCCCCUCAAGGGCAUCUUGGGCUACACUGAACACCAGGUUGUUUCCUCUGACUUUAACAGUGACACUCACUCUUCCACUUUCGAUGCUGGGGCUGCCAUUGCCCUCAGUGACCACUUUGUCAAGCUCAUUUCCUCGUACAACAGUGAAUUUGGCUACAGCAACAGGGUGGUGGCCCAUAUGGCCUCCAAGGAGUAA